AUCUUAUCGAGAGUGGCAGAGGGACUGGCCCGGUGAAGCCACGGCAACCGUUCAGCAGUGAAAGAGGUGCCAAUUCCAGCGGAUAAAAUCCGGAAGAUGAGAU
rfam:Spirochaetes bacterium RBG_16_49_21 RBG_16_scaffold_510, whole genome shotgun sequence.